UCAUAGCUACAAUGCUUCACAGUGCUGCUUAAAUGGUGCUGCUUGCUCCUGUUUUGCAUUUGUCCUUAAUUUUAUCUCUACCAGCACUAGGUAUUCAAAUUUUAGUUGAGUUUUUUUUUCCUAGUGUUAUAUGUCAAUAAGUGGUUUAUACUUACACUAUUCUCUUUACUUGUGGGGAGGUAUAAGAUAUGUUAGUCAUUUUUUUUUCUUGAUGCUUCUAGAAUGCUAGCAAAAGUUUCUUUCUUUUUUUUUUUUUUUUUUUUUCCUACUGACACAGUGGAAGAGGUAACAGAGACUAGAAUUUGUUCUUUAAUGUCCUGGCCUUUGGCAAAGGUGGUAGAGAAAAUUGAAUUAACAAAAUUAUUGAAAGAGAAAAUCAAUUUUUUUUCUUUCUGGGAACAAAUCUAAUUAGACUUUUUUUUUUUUUUUUUUUGCAUUUUCCAAAGGACCCUUCAGAGUAGGUUCUGCAUCUCACCUUGGAAUUUUCAAGCCCUUGUUAGGAACGCUGAUGUUGCUACUUCCUGUUGUAGAGUGGAUUCCACACGGCCACUUUGAAUACAUGAUAAUGAUAGUGGAAAAUGUUUACAAAUGACAUUUACCAUUUGAUGGACAGAAUCAUUUUGUAUGCAUUAGCUUCUCUUGAAUUGUCACAGUGACUUCAUAAAAUAGGUAUUAUUAUUGUUAUUCCUAUGGAUGGAUAAAGAAAUUGAGACCCAGAGAGAGUGAUGGGUCUCAUACAUUAAAAAGCAGGGCUACCAAAUGAUGCAGGCUGACUUUAAACCCAUUUUCAGCAUGUCAAGGCACCGCCUUCCACUCCCUUAACGCACUGCAGUGUGGACGGGAGGUCGAUGCAGAGUCCAGAGGACUUUCUCUCUAUGCUAAUGAGCUUCACUUCCCACCCCUAGAAUGGAGGAGAUUUAUUCUCUUGACAACCGAGAGCACAUUUUCCAGCCUCCUCUGCUUUUGACUCAAGUCCAGAAUCAUACACCCUGAUGAUAUCUUUUGCCCUUGAAGAUAGUUCCUGAAUUAUACUGCUCUUGUGUUUUGUCCUUCCCUUGUGUUAUCAAUGGGUAUCUCUCAAUGAAGCAGAUGUUUAGAGCACUAGGGCUUGCUAAAAUUAACACGGACAUUCUGAACACUAGAGUAUCUGCGAUGUUUUUAGUACAUUUUUAUUUCCCUACCAUAAAGAAUGAUGAACUUUGAGUGAAUGAAGGUCUUAUUGUUAUUAGAACAAACCAAACCAUCUCAAAUAGCAAAUUUAAUUGCCACAAGGCCAUCGCUCAUCAAAAGCCCCAUUUUCUCCUAUUAUAUCAUGCACAAAUGUCUCCUUUCUGUUUGGUUGUAAAGGAUAAUAUGAGGUUUUAUUCAUACUUGGCAGUUAAUUCAGCCCAAUGAUCAAGAGCUUGGGUUUUAAAGUCAGAGGGACCUGGAUUCAAACCAGGUUCUACUAUCUUUCUUCCUGUGACCUUGGACACAAGGAAGAGAUGUCUUCAUGUUUGAAACAAGGACUUUUAUCAUUUUUUUUCUAGCAGAUUUGCUGUAGAGAGAGUACAUAAAAUUACAAAAGUCUAUAGUAAACACUUGGCAUAUAGCAAGUGUUCAAUAAGUUAGAUAUUUAUAGCAUUUAUGUAAUAAAUACACAGGUAAAGUUUCAACUCAAAAGAUUUUCAGGGGUACAUAUCUUCUUUUUCUUGCUUUCUUUCUCUAUUUGAGGACCUCCUAACCUUACUCAGUGUACAAAUUUUUCAUUUUAUCUCAUCUAAAAGGGAGAAUGAAUGGAAGUUAUUCUCUUAUCAACAUUAAUAAAAAAUGACACAAUUUUUCUUUUAGUGAGUUUUAGCAAUAUCUUAAUUUUGCCUCUUCAUAUUUCAGGAGGAUGUGUCAUCUGUAGUUUCUAGAAUCACACAAAAGAGUUACAAGACAAGAGGACUUAUUUACAAUGGAAUAAAUUUGCAAACUUUAUGCCUAAUAUGGUUCAAAGCAAAAUGACUUCUCCUUAAUGACUUUUGCCUGCUAUUGGUGGUAUCCUCAGAAAGUCCCCUUCACUCCAUGUGGGCCUCUUAGCAAGAAGGAAAGGCCAGUGGGGUAUUCCAGACUAGAUAUGGCCUUGGUGUUGGGUCAUAUCUGAAUGCUCUCAAAUAGUAAGUCCAAGGGACUUCUCAAGAGCAUUGCUUAUGUAAGCCUUAUUAUACCUUCAUGUCUACUGGGGCAGGGACGGCAGGCUUCCAGUGUCUAGCCAGAGGCUGCAUGUAUUUAGUGAAGAUAGACAAGAGUUGAGGGAAUAAAGGAGACACCUUGUCAAUUGAUGGAUUGUUAAUUGAGUAGGACCCUGAUCCCAAUGCUCUAUCUUGAUAGUGGCCUUCACACUGUAGAGGCACUGAUGCAGGCAGUGAUGAAGAAUUGACCAAAGGGGUUUGGAGAAGCAAAAGCUACAAAUGCGAGUGCAAACAACUGGUUGUAGGACUCUGCCCAGGACUGUAGCAGUUCCAGCCUGCAGGCAUUGAUCUGACAGCUGCACUUGGCUUCAGAGAGACACGAAGGGUCAGAUGCUGCCAGAUAACAAGCAUUCAGAGCCAGGUAUGCCUCCCCUGGUGGCAUGCUGGCACUUGGAGAAAGGCAUAGCUGUCUCCUUGGCUCCUUGUCCAAGGGUCAUGGGGCCAUGAAGACUUUCCAAGAUGUUUGGCUGGGAACCAAUUACCUUAUAUGCUUACCUUUCUGCUGUCACUGCUCCUCUAUCAGUUGGAAGCUUGAAUUCUAAAGGGAAAAUUAGUGCUCUGCUCUCACAUCAACCCACAGAUGACACUUUUGUUAAUUGGAAGAGGGUUACAUGCUCUUCAUUUGUGGUCUUGGUGAGAAGAGUACUGACCUCAUGACAUCUCAGACAACACAAAAUUAGGGGUAUUGGACUGUAAAUCUCAUACACAUUGAAUCAUCAGUGCAUAUGAAGAAAGUAGUGCUGAACAUUCCUCCAUUCAAGGAAGAGAUUGAAUGAUGGGUGAGGAAAUUCUCUGAUUGUGAUGUGUAGGCUCUGUGAAUCGCUAUGUUGACUAAAGAGAUUUUUUUUCCCAAGUUGCCUUCUGAGAUGGAUGGAAACUGUUGGGUGGCUUAAUAAUUAGAGCACAUAAGUCCAUGCCAGAGCUGAGUUGUUGGGGACACUGCAGAGAAGACCAUGGAAGCAAUGCUCCUUCUCACCUGAGACUCGCAGUCAUACUUCUGGGGACGUCUUUCUUUAAUGUGCACAUGCCUUGUGGGAAGAUUAUCCAGUGUUAAGUUCUUAGGUGCAACCACAAGUUUUGGUCCUACUGUACCUAUUCUUACCCUAGUUGACGAGAGCCACUUCCUUCUGUCCUCACUGGCUACCUACCUCAUUCACUGGCUUCUUUUUUUUCUACCCACAAAGUGUGAAGAAACCUGUCAACAUAGCUUAUUCCAAGCUUUCCAACCUUUCCCCCUGUCACUCUUUUCUGGCAUAAUGACUGUGUUCUAUCUUUGACUCAUCAGGCUAAGUAGGCAUGGGGUUGUCCUGCUUUAUAUGACGCUCCUUGAUUCUCAGAGUAGAGAGUUCAUGGCAUUUAUUGUUUUAUAAGCACUUAUUGAGCACUAAGUUGUUUUUGGGUACUCUUCCAGCUUCUUAAGUUCAGUUUAUCUCUCUGGAGCUUCAGCACCAUUUUGCAUCCCAUGCUUUAGACUUUUUUUUUUAAUGAUUUCCUAAGUUUAAAUAGGUGACACCAGUUUUCCCAGGCACCCACGGUUAAUACCUGUAUUCAAACAAAUAUUAUUUACUUGGUCAUUUCUAGGACUUUUGUUAUUUUUAUAUAAAUGUUAGUCAUUCGUUGGAAAAAACAUUAGAGGAAUAUGUAAUUGCCAAAAAUGGGACGCAUCACCUGCUCUUUUAAGCCAACUACUAGGCCCUUAUAUUAUUAUAUUAAGGCUCCUUCCUUGUCUCCAUGGUCACCAUCCAAUACCCCGCAAGACUUUGUAUUAUUGUAACUGAACAAUGGCAGCAGGUACUGUCUGCUUAGACACCUUCUAGUCUCCAAAUCCUUGUGUGCUGGGGGCUGAAUUCUGUGAAGGUGUGAAAUGUUUCAGAGAAGACCGUAUAAUUAAGAGUGAAGGUUUGAUUCCUACAUUUUCUCAGCCAGUGGUUUAUUCUGCUUUUCUAUCCUUGGUCAUAAAAC
rnacentral:lncRNA from 1 species